rnacentral:miRNA from 1 species
UUAAUCUAUAGGUGCAAAUCGA